UGGUAGCCAAAAAAAAAAGGAGGUCACACCUGUUCCCAUGCCGAACACAGAAGUUAAAGGUCUCUUUUUUUAUGUCUGAAGUUACAUAGUAAAAAGCAAACACAAAGAUCUUAGCGACGAUGGUAGCCAACUUACGUUCCGCUAGAGUAGAACGUUGCCAGGCA
rnacentral:rRNA from 1 species